rnacentral:rRNA from 1 species
GGGCCCGCACAAGCGGUGGAGCAUGUGGUUUAAUUCGAUGAUACGCGAGGAACCUUACCUGGGCUUGAACGCAUUUUGACAGAUACGGAAACGUAUCCUUCUUCGGACAAUUUGCGAGGUGCUGCAUGGUUGUCGUCAGCUCGUGCCGUGAGGUGUCGGGUUAAGUCCCAUAACGAGCGCAACCCCUAUCGUUAGUUGCUAGCAGGUAAUGCUGAGGACUCUAACGAAACUGCCCGUGCAAACGGUGAGGAAGGUGGGGAUGACGUCAAAUCAUCACGGCCCUUACGUCCAGGGCUACACACGUGCUACAAUGGCGCAUACAAUGGGCAGCUACCUGGUGACAGGAUGCUAAUCUCUAAAGUGCGUCUCAGUUCGGAUCGAAGUCUGCAACUCGACUUCGUGAAGCUGGAAUCGCUAGUAAUCGCAUAUCAGCCAUGAUGCGGUGAAUACGUUCCCGGGCCUU